AAAACGACUCUCGGCAACGGAUAUCUCGGCUCAUGCAUCGAUGAAGAACGUAGCGAAAUGCGAUACUUGGUGUGAAUUGCAGAAUCCCGUGAACCAUCGAGUCUUUGAACGCAAGUUGCGCCCGAAGCCAUUCGGCCGAGGGCACGUCUGCCUGGGCGUCACGC
rnacentral:rRNA from 4 species